rnacentral:rRNA from 1 species
AACGAACGCUGGCGGCAGGCCUAACACAUGCAAGUCGAGCGCCCCGCAAGGGGAGCGGCGGACGGGUGAGUAACGCGUGGGAACGUGCCUCUUGCUACGGAAUAGCCUCGGGAAACUGGGAGUAAUACCGUAUGUGCCCUACGGGGGAAAGAUUUAUCGGCAAGAGAUCGGCCCGCGUUGGAUUAGGUAGUUGGUGGGGUAAUGGCCUACCAAGCCGACGAUCCAUAGCUGGUUUGAGAGGAUGAUCAGCCACACUGGGACUGAGACACGGCCCAGACUCCUACGGGAGGCAGCAGUGGGGAAUCUUAGACAAUGGGCGCAAGCCUGAUCUAGCCAUGCCGCGUGAGCGAUGAAGGCCUUAGGGUUGUAAAGCUCUUUCAGUGGGGAGGAUAAUGACUGUACCCACAGAAGAAGCCCCGGCUAACUCCGUG